AAUGGGGUUGGGGCCUCAUGGAAGGGGUGGAGUGGGGGCAUCGUGGGGGCAGAGGUGGGGUCGAGCACCCAGGGGAAAGAGGGAAAGUCGGCACCUAUGGUACAAGCAAUUACAUGUGGCAUUACUUUCAGCUCCUAGUAAUCCAAGUCCAUCCACUCAUACAUUCCCAGUGUUCAAAUCCUGCACUCCAUAGACACACGACUCCUAAGGCCUAUAGAACUUUGGCCCUACAGGCUUGGCCCUCAAUUCUGCAGUUAAUAUUCACCUGAUAUCAGGAUCUCACCAAGCCUGCUAAGUACUUAGGCAGUAUCCUUAGCCACUGUACCACAACAGCGCAUUGAAAUGCUACCCCAAUCAACAGCCUUAGUGCUAAAGACGUACAGACCCACAGCAGCCACACCCCAGGCCCCUCAUUGGAUGGACCGGCAGCACUCUCAUUAGGUACCGGGGCUAUUUAAAGACCGCAACAGGAAGAGGAUGGAAGCUAUCUGAGCAAUAGACCAUUGCCUGUUGGAUGCUGCCUAGAUCGCCUUGCCUGACCCUGCCUUGCUGCCUCGCCCAACCUCACCUCCCCAAUCAGCUGAUCUAGCCCCAUGGAUUGGAUCUUCCGGCUACAGACUCUUGUGAGAAUGCCAACCAUUGCCCCAGACUGCCUCUGAUACCGAUUGACCUCCUGCCAACCUGACCACCCAUGCACACUUGACUGCUGCUUGGACUGCCCCUAGUCCACCUUGGCAAACAGGCAUUACAUCUGAACAGCCCCAAUUGCAGGAUCAGGGCCACAUAUUGCAACAAAUGUUGCAAAUGUUUUUGUUUUGUUCCUAACUCUAUCCUCAUGCAAGUACCAUUAAGAACCACAAGCUGAGUUCCAUUGUUCUAAGCAUUUAUUAUAUCUAGGGACCAGAUCUUGCACUGCUGAAGUGAGUGGAAGUUUUGCAUUUACACCACUGGAAGCAGGAUUGGGCCAGUAUUAGUAACAGAUCCUUAGAGGUACUUACUACCUGCAGGAUUUAGGUGGGAAAGGAUGGUCCAAAGGUUAAGUACUUCCCUACCUCAGUAGGGUAUUGUGGAGGAUAACUACAUUAAACAGUGUGAGGUGUGUGGAUUCUACAGUAAGGGGGGCCAUUUAAAGUACCCAAGAUAGAUAGCCCAUUAAACUUUCUGCUCUGAUUCAGGCUAUCACACAUUUAUUGAAAGAUAACCCACAAUUCUCUUCCCUACCACCUUCCUUUGUUUAUGUGCAUGUCUAAGUUUGUCCGUUUUAGAUUGUAAGCUCUUGAGGACAGAGAUCCAGGCCCUGGUUCUCUGUGUUUCAUUGUGCUUCUGCUACUUCCCCAUCACUGAUGUUCUGCAAGAGAAGUGACUGGGGAACACUGUAAAAUGGAUCCAGGCAUCAGCUAAUUCACCUAUUGAGCCACCAGUUCAAAUGCUUAAAAUCAUAAGUGAAAAGGAGCUCAGUCAGUCUUAUUCUAAAGUGGAUAAAUGUCAGCCUCUGGAAAUGCAUGAUUCAGCAAAAUUAUUUUUGGAAGCUUACAUAAGGCUUGACCCGAUAUACCUGAUUCUACAUGCUGGUAAACCUUCACCUUCCUAAACUCAACAUCUACUCUUUUUAAAAAGUGACUGGGAGAGAAAAUUAGGCUCCUGUUUUCUAACAAUCGCUGUCUGUAAGUUUUCUCCUUGUCAAACUGUUUCUUAAGAUUUCUUUAUAACAAGCAAAUACCGUCUCUUAGCAUGAAAAUAACAUUAUUGGAAACAGAAUGGUUUCUCCUGAAAAAGUAAAUGUAGCAAAGGAAUUUCUCAGCAUGGGAAAAUAUGCAGACAACAGAUACGUACAGAAAUUCUGUCCAUUUAUUUCAAAAUUGGAGGUUUUAUAAAAUAAAUUUUGAAGCUAUUCACUCUUGCA
ensembl:lncRNA